CUGUGACUUUGCCCUGGGAGGAAGAACUUCUCACUGUACCAUGAUCAGUCAUGUGACCCUGACUGCUGUGCAAAUACCAGCUCCCUCUAGUUCAUAUGAACUAAAGGCACACUCUGCUCCUUCUCUUGGUCACCACCUAGAGUUCUUCACAUCUCUCCUGGCCCUAGGCUGCUCUGGCCCUCCCUCCUCCCGCUGGCAGAGAAGUUUAAACAGUAUUUGGAAUGUGCCUGUGGUGGUUGGAGGCCCAGCAGUCAUACUGGACCAUAAAAUCACAAGCCAGACCUGAGGAUGGUGGAGCAGAAAGCAAGAACCAGGGUGGCUGAUGACCAAGGCAGCCACUAUUUCAGCCCCAGGAUACCAGCCUCCUAACUGCUUUUCCUUUUGUGUUAUUUUGGGUUUUCUAACACUUGUAGUCAAAUAGAAUUUUAACUGAUACCAGAAUAGGACUGUGAAUGGACAUGUGUGUAGGCAAAAAGGUGGACUGCAGCAGAGAGAGCUAAUUGUCCACUAAGUAUCCAUUUUGUUCUUACUACUUUUGAUGUCUCUGUGGCUUGCAGCCAAACCUGACACUCACUGAAACAUGAGACAUAUGCAGACAACUGAAAGAGAAACUUCCAUGAAGGGCUGUAAAGGUAUGUAAAGUGCUCUAGGAGUUCAGAAGAGAGUGGACUCACUGCGGAAGGCAUCAGUAGAGCUCAGUGAAGGAGGGGGAUGGUAGCUCCGAAAUGAAGGGCUGAAGUGGGAAUAAAAUGUCGAUUUCACUAAGGAGGCAUGGCAUCCUAGGCAGGGAGCCUCAGGAGCAAAGAUAAAGGCAUGCAUAUUCCACACGGGGAAGGAAGGAGGGCUCCCAGGAAGUUGAGAGGUGCUGGGAGAGAUGGGGAAGUAAGACUGGGGAAGCACUGAGGCCUGGAGAUGGAGGGCCUUGGGGUCAGC
rnacentral:lncRNA from 1 species